AAACACGCAGAUGAUAAGUCAAGUUAAGUCAACAGUAUUUAUAGAGCACUUUCAAACAGCCAUCGCUGCAUACAAAGUGCUGUACAUGGAGCAAUUUAACAUGCACAAUAAACAUGCACAAUAAACAGUAAGACAAAGCACCAAACAGUAAAAUCAAGAACAAAUCUAAGUCAUGCUGAGUCGAACGCCAAAGAAUACAAGUGAGUUUUGAGGAGGGCUUUGAAGAUGGGCAGCGAGGAGGCUUGCCGAAUGUUCAGUGGGAGGUCAUUCCGGAGAGAGCGACCAGCAACAGAAAAGGCUCGAUCCCCUCUGAGCCUCAAUUUAGUUCUUGGUACUUCUAACAAAGUCUGGUCCACAGACCUGAGGCGCCGGGCAGGUGUGUAGGGGCGGAUGAGCUCAGAGAGGUAUGGUGGCUCGAAAUUAUUCAGAGAUUUGAAAACGAAGAGGAGGCUCUUGAAAAUAACUCUAAAAUGAAUGGGGAGCCAGUGAAAGGAUGCCAGAGUAGGAGUUAUGUGCUCCCUCUUACGAGUACCAGUCAAGAGGCGAGCAGCGGCAUUCUGGACCAGCUGAUUCCAAAGUAAAGGGCAUUGCAGUAAUCGAGCCGGGAUGUGACAAAGGCAUGAAUUACUGUCUCAAAGUGUUCAUGUGAGAGGAGAGCUUUUAUUUUGGCCAGCUGUCUAAGGUGAAAGAAGCUGGAUUUAACAACGGCACCAAUUUGCCGAUCGAGUUUGAAAUCACUGUCCAGUUUAAGGCCCAAGUUAGAGACCGUUGAUUUCAGAUAAGGAGACAGGGGGCCCAAGUCUACAGGAUGCAAUGUACAAGGGCCACUGGGACCAAACAACAUCACCUCUGUCUUCUUUUCGUUGCAUUAAAAAAUACAUGGCGUGUCGUUUAAAGAGAACGUGCUGAUUUCAGUAUUGACCUGGAAAUAAUUCUAAAGAUUAGAGAAAAAUACAAAAAAACGGAAGAAUGAUCCGUACUCGCUGACCCAACUACUGCGAGCAGAUGUGGAAUUUGGCUUUGUGCUGAUUUCAACAUUGACUCAGAUAUAAUUGUGACGAAUGGGCAGAAAAAAAUAAAACCUGGUUUUCUAGGCCCAUAGAAUGUAACGCUGGAAUUUUUGGCGGAGAGUUCAACAAGUGCUGUUUUUCGGCCUUGGCGCAGGGAUAAUUGGGAAAGUUGAGGCCGGGUUGAAUUAAAACCUGAAUUUCUUCUCCCAAAGAAAGUGAGCUUAUGUGGCACAUAAAAAGCUAAAACGUAAAGCCUAGUCUAAAGAAAGUGCCAAUUUCAACCUAAAAUUAAUUUGGUCGAUUAUAAGGGGAGUAGUGGGGAGACACAAAUCUGAUUUGUAAGCAAACCUGCCAUCUUUGCAACCGUUACUGAGCGUUGUGUAAAAAUGAGGUGUCUUCUGGUACUGGAAUGACUGCUGUGAUUUUGUGGGUACAGAUGGCUUUGGCUACACUGCAUAUGAUACGAGUACAUGCAGCAAGGUGUGAAAUGCCUCGUUCCGAUGCCACCUUAUAACACAAAUGUCUGACGACUUGUCAUUCCAGUUCACAUAACGCUUGUUUUUCUACCGUGGUGACUCUCGAAUCAUUUUAUGCUGUCAUCAGUAAAAGCUUCGCGCGGGAUUCAACGUGCCGCGCUUUGAUUUUAGUUUAACUCUUGGAAAAAAAAACUCGUCAGGAAAAACUCUCAUUCUGUCAGGAUGCUAGCUUAUCUGUAAACUUCAAUGUACUGUACUUCUUAAUUACUGAUAGAGUGCCUGCCCACCUAUCAAAUGUGAAAUGAAACAGUCAAAUGAAUCUCUGCCCGUUUUUGAAAACAUUUGUUGACAGUCCAUAUCAAACAUCAACAGAACAAAAGCAUGAAAGUACGGUAUUAAUAUACUUUUUUUAAAUGACAAAAGUCUUGUUGUUGACCUAUUUUAGCCUGUGCAUCGCUGCAGAUGGGUUGUGAUCAGACCAGUAGAA